GCCGGGUGUGGUGGUGCAUGCCUGUAAUCCCAGCAACUUGGGAGACUGAGGCAGGAGGACCAUGAGUUCAAAGCCAGCCUCCACAAUUUAGUAAGGCCCUAAGCAACUCAGUGAGACCCUGUCUUUA
rnacentral:sRNA from 1 species